CUACGGGGGGCUGCAGUGGGGAAUUUUGGACAAUGGGCGCAAGCCUGAUCCAGCAAUGCCGCGUGCAGGAAGAAGGCCUUCGGGUUGUAAACUGCUUUUGUACGGAGCGAAAAGGCUCCCUCUAAUACAGGGGGCUCAUGACGGUACCGUAAGAAUAAGCACCGGCUAACUACGUGCCAGCAGCCGCGGUAAUACGUAGGGUGCAAGCGUUAAUCGGAAUUACUGGGCGUAAAGCGUGCGCAGGCGGUUUUGUAAGACAGGCGUGAAAUCCCCGGGCUCAACCUGGGAAUGGCGCUUGUGACUGCAAGGCUGGAGUGCGGCAGAGGGGGAUGGAAUUCCGCGUGUAGCAGUGAAAUGCGUAGAUAUGCGGAGGAACACCGAUGGCGAAGGCAAUCCCCUGGGCCUGCACUGACGCUCAUGCACGAAAGCGUGGGGAGCAAACAGGAUUAGAUACCCCCGUAGUC
rnacentral:rRNA from 1 species